AUUAAACAGAUCCUACACUGGUAUCUUAAAAUUUUAAUCAAUUUUUAAAUAAAAAAAUAAUUUUAUAUUUAGUAAUAUUUUGAACUUAACAAACUACUCUCUGCAAAGGAGGCAUAAAAUUUUCAUCAGAAAUUAUUAACUUAUGUACCUUUUGUAUCAGGGCUUAAAAAUUUAUUAAUAUAUUUUAUUUUCCCGAAAAAUUGAGAGCUAUAAAAGUUUUUCCAUUUGUAUCAAAAAUUCCUAAAGCUUUUAUAGAAGUAAAAAGUUAAACGCUCAAUUUGAUAUCUGGUUUCUUAGGAAAUUAUAAUAGUAAUUAUUUGCAAAAAUUUCUAAAUUUUAGGAUAAGCUAAAAUUUCUUUUAAUUUCAUACACUAAAACCUAAGAAAAAGAAUAAAAUUUUCUAUUAAUAUUACAAUUAACUUUACUCCUAUUAUUAGCUUAUUUUACUACUAAGAUAUUCUAUUUAAUAAUAAUAAUAAUAAAACUGUUAAGAUUAGUAAAUUAAAAUAAUUUCAAAAAUAUCACUUAAAUACUCAAACUUUCUCAGCCUGUUUAUCAAAAUCAUGGUUCUUAGAAAUGAUUAAGAAUCUGCUCUGCCCACUGCAAAAUGUAAAAGGCCGCAGUAUUCUGACUGUGCAAAGGUAGCAUAAUAAUUAGUCUUUUAAUUGAAGACUGGAAUGAAAGAGUUGACUGAGAGUGGGCAAUUUUAAUGAUAAUUAUUAAAUUUUAUUUUUUAGUAAAAAAGCUAAAAUUCCUUUAAAAGACAAGAAGACCCUAUAAAUCUUUACAUGAAAAACUAAAUUUUACCAUGUUCUGCUGGGGCGGCAUAAAAAUAAGACAUUUUAAAAUUACAUAAAUAACAAAUUUUUAUAACUGAAAUUUUCAAAAUUAGAAUAAGAUACUUUAGGGAUAACAGCGUAAUUUAUUUUAAAAGCUCCUAUUGACAAAUAAGUUUGCGACCUCGAUGUUGAAUUAAGUUUCCUCCCUUCUGCACAGGGAAAGGCAGGAGGUCUGUUCGACCUUUAAAAACUUCCAUGAUUUGAGUUCAAAUCGGCGUGAGCCAGAUUGGUUUCUAUCUUUAAAGUAUACUAAAUAAGUCAGUACGAAAGGACCACUUAAUUAAAAUAAUUUUUUAAACCCUAAAAACUUUUUCAUUGAAGCAACUUUGCUUUAGAUUUAGAAUCUAUU
rnacentral:rRNA from 1 species